AGUGAACGCUGGCGGUAUGCCUAACACAUGCAAGUCGAACGGCAGCACAGUAAUAGCUUGCUCUUACGGUUGGGGAGGGGCGGGCGGGUGAGGAAUACAUCGGAAUCUACUUUUUCGUGGGGGGUAACGUAGGGAAACUUACGCUAAUACCGCAUACGACCUACGGGUGGAAGCAGGAGAUCUUCGGACCUUGCGCCAUUGGAUGAGCCGAUGUCGGAUUAGCUAGUUGGCGGGGUAAAGGCCCACCAAGGCGACGAUCCGUAGCUGGUCUGAGAGGAUGAUCAGCCACACUGGAACUGAGACACGGCCCAGACUCCUACGGGAGGCAGCAGUGGGGAAUAUUGGACAAUGGGCGCAACCCUGAUCCAGCCAUACCGCGUGCGUGAAGAAGGCCUUCGGGUUGUAAAGCGCUUUUGUUGGGAAAGAAAAGCUGUAGGUUAAUACCCCGCUGGUAUGACGGUACCGAAAGAAUAAGCACCGGCUAACUUCGUG
rnacentral:rRNA from 1 species